AGUGAACGCUGGCGGUAGGCCUAACACAUGCAAGUCGAACGGCAGCACAGUAAGAGCUUGCUCUUACGGGUGGCGAGUGGCGGACGGGUGAGGAAUACAUCGGAAUCUACUUUUUCGUGGGGGAUAACGUAGGGAAACUUACGCUAAUACCGCAUACGACCUACGGGGGAAAGCAGGGGAUCUUCGGACCUUGCGCGAUUGAAUGAGCCGAUGUCGGAUUAGCUAGUUGGCGGGGUAAAGGCCCACCAAGGCGACGAUCCGUAGCUGGUCUGAGAGGAGGAUCAGCCACACUGGAACUGAGCCACGGUCCAGACUCCUACGGGAGGCAGCAGUGGGGAAUAUUGGACAAUGGGCGCAAGCCUGAUACAGCCAUACCGCGUGGGUGAAGAAGGCCUUCGGGUUGUAAAGCCCUUUUGUUGGGAAAGAAAAGCAGCAGGUUAAUACCCCGCUGUUCUGACGGUACCCAAAGAAUAAGCACCGGCUAACUUCGUG
rnacentral:rRNA from 1 species